AACGAACGCUGGCGGCAUGCCUAACACAUGCAAGUCGAACGAGACCUUCGGGUCUAGUGGCGCACGGGUGCGUAACGCGGGGGAACCUGCCCUUAGGUUCGGAAUAACUCCCCGAAAGGGGUGCUAAUACCGGAUAAUGUCUUCGGACCAAAGAUUUAUCGCCUUUGGAUGGGCCCGCGUUGGAUUAGCUAGUUGGUAGGGUAAAAGCCUACCAAGGCGACGAUCCAUAGCUGGUCUGAGAGGAUGAUCAGCCACACUGGGACUGAGACACGGCCCAGACUCCUACGGGAGGCAGCAGUGGGGAAUAUUAGACGAUGGGCGAAAGCCUGAUCCAGCAAUGCCGCGUGAGUGAUGAAGGCCUUAGGGUUGUAAAGCUCUUUUACCCGGGAUGAUAAUGACAGUACCGGGAGAAUAAGCUCCGGCUAACUCCGUG
rnacentral:rRNA from 1 species